rnacentral:rRNA from 1 species
AACGAACGCUGGCGGCAGGCCUAACACAUGCAAGUCGAGCGCGCCCUUUUGGGUGAGCGGCGGACGGGUUAGUAGCGCGUGGGAACGUACCCUUCUCUAAGGAAUAGCCCCUGGAAAACGGAGAGUAAUACCUUAUACGCCCUUCGGGGAAGAUUAUCGGAGAGGGUCGGCCCGCGUUAGAUUAGAUAGUUGGUGGGUAACGGCCUACCAAGUCUACGAUCUAUAGCUGGUUUUAGAGGAUGAUCAGCAACACUGGGACUGAGACACGGCCCAGACUCCUACGGGAGGCAGCAGUGGGAAUCUGGACAAUGGGCGCAAGCCUGAUCCAGCCAUGCCGCGUGAGUGAUGAA